rnacentral:lncRNA from 1 species
GGGGAGGUGGUUUGCUGUCUCAUAAGCACAGAGCUGGGACAAGGCAGGAACAAGGGGGCAUCUGCUUGGAGUCUGAGAGUUUGAGAUGAGUGGGUAAGGGAGCCUUUUCUGUUCUUGGAAUGACUCCUUGAUUUUUUCCAACAAGGGCCUCUGAGAGAUGGUAUUGCUCUCUUGGUCUUUGAUUUCCAUUAGCGCAGGAAACACAUAGUAAAUGGUGACUUCUUUCCUAUGUCAAGGUUUUCCUUGAUUUUGGUGGGGGGGGGGGGGGAUGGAUUAGACUUGAAAAACAUUUCCAUUAUUUAUACUUCAAGUCUUCUUUCCACCUCAAGAGGGCUCUUGCCUGAGGGACAUGUCCGGACUGGAUCCAGGCCAACCCUGCAGGGGCCAGAAGGCAUAAGCUUUCUGAACUAUUUUCUGUCUCUGUGGCCCUUGCUUUCGUCACUGAGUAAUGAGUUUCAGGCAAGUGCUGUUUCCACGUAGCCUGGUCUGGAGUGGCCACGAGGAGCCCGGAGAGAGACCUUUGCCACGGGGUGGCAGCAGCACCGCAGGUACAACGUCUGUCCUUGCUGGGGCCAGCUCAUUAGCACAGCAUCCCCUGGGUUCCCACAGAGCCAGGGCCUGACCGCCUCUCUGGUUCCCCUUGGCAGGGAGGCAGAGGAUGGAAGGGGGCCUAGCAGAAGGGGAGGUCACUGGCACACAGAGGGGCAGUUUUGUUCUCUGAGAGACUCAGGAGGAAGCUGGGUGGUCUCCUCAGAGUGUCAAAUUGUGCCAUGCACAAAACCGCCAUGCAGUGUGGUGCUCCCGGGAGCCCAGCCUAACAAAAGCCCUCGGAGGAGACUGGCAGGGCUGCUGGUCCGCCCGGGCGCAGAGGCCCCGGCCCCUCCAUGAGGAGGCCCGCGGGUUUCUCAUGAUGCCGGUUUCCAGGGGCGACAGCCCCCCUCCCAGAAGAUGUAGGUCUGCGGCCUCCUGGCCUCCUGGCCUCCGUCCUGCCCACAGAUGGAGCUGGGAAACACUCCCCCCUUCUGCAGCGUCACUCCCACUCUCUUCCUCCUUCACUGAGCCGGUUUUGUUCUAAACAUCCUAAGAAUCUUUCUAAGUGCCAGAAACCGUGCUGGGGGCUUUCUAUUAUCAUCUGUUUCAUUUUCCUUACAUCCUCAUGAAGACAGCAUUCUUAUAUUCAUUGAGGAUGAGGAAGUUGAAGUUUAAUCUCUCGUGCGUCAAGUUUAGUUGACCCCAGAAGCCCGCUGUGACACCUCUGCCAACGUGCAGAAACUUGAUACCAACCUUGCUUUGCAGACUGCAGGUUUCAUCCAGUCCCCCACAUGUACAGAUGAGGGCGCUGGACGAUCAGGUCAAGGAACCACAGGUGGUUAAAAGCAAGUGAGAGACUAAACCUCCUUUUCCCAAGUCUGCUUUGCACUUGACCUGUCCAGUGAAGCUGUUCUAGAACUGCCAUUACCAUGAAGUCAAUGGAUUACGUUCCAGGGUUGAUGAAGACGAUCCUGGGACCCUGGGGAAACUGCUCGAGGAUUCAGGUGUAACAAGUGUGGAUUCAGCCCAGUGCUGCGGACAAGUUUAGGUUCAGCCACCACUCUGAAGCUGAAGGCCUUUGGGUUUUAGGACACACGCAGCUAGUUUGAGUCUACUUGUGUUAGUUUCCUAAUUCCCACGUGGACUUUCUCCAGUUUGUUUUCUACCUCUUUGGCAAAUAGCUCAUCAUCAACUUAAAUGAAACAAUGCUUCACAGAGGCCCUGUGGUGCCAAGGCAGUGGGAUUUGGUGACAGAAUCUUUUAAGUGCUAAGUUCUCCCCAGGGCAGACUCAUCAUCAGUUCCUUUAGUGGCUUAGCUGACUUCCUGGAUGGUCUUUAUUUUCUCCUGCAGUGUCUGUAAACUCCAGGCUGGCUGCCUUCAGGCCUUCUUAGGAUCCCCUGAACCUGCAGAGUUGAAAAAGUCAUCUGACACCAUCUUCUCCGAGACUCACUGCUACCUUUAACAUGUGCAUAUGCAAUUAUUGGGAAACAGUUUAUGAUUUUUAGGGGCAUAUUUUGUCCUUCUGCAGUAUCCGUUGGGCCCUGCUUUUCAUAUGCUUCAGCCUGGAUUUAAAGAAGGGGCUUUUGUAGGAAUGAUGCCCGUCCACGGAUGGGGAAGUUCCCCGAAAAAACCUUUGAGAAAUGCCUCACUCCCAAGUUUACAAUGACUGCAAAGUGAUAGCCUUUGAAUAGCUCAAUAUGAAAAAAAUAUGGGCGCUUUCCUAAAAGGAGCACCCCAAAUGAAAAAAAUGUGUUCACCAGUGGAAAACAGUAUGCGGAUGCCAAAUUUUUCAGCCCUGUAAUGGAUUACAGAAAAUAUUUUGUUUGGGGGGGGGAGCGGGUGGUGGUCAGGAGGAAGGAUUGAGAAAAAGAAAGGAGAGAAAAAAGGAAUGAGAAGAAAAGAAAAACAGAUGUGAAUCUUAAAAUAUUUCAAGCAUGGAUAGCUGAAAUACUGUUUAAUUUAUUUAAGACUAUUCUGUGAAGUCUAAAAGGUGAUUGAUCAGGCUUUUAAGAUGCAGCCACAAGAUUUACAAUCAUGUAAUGAGUGAUAAUGUCCCCAAAGCAAAUAAAUAGUGGGAAAUAUCCCA